UUUUCAUCCUCCUUGAGAAACUUCCUCUUAUUUCAAAUCAUGACAAAAUUAUCCUGUAUAGACUUUGUUAUUGCUUUGCCUUUCACAGGUAUAUCUACAGUUCACUAGGAAUUGGUACUUGUUCGUGAUGUGAGCUAGAGGCCAAUUUUCUUUUUUUUAUUUAUGUGGCUAUCCAUGUGGUCCACCACCAUUUAUUGAAAAGAACAUCGUUUCUCCACUGCUCUGUGGAGGUACCUUGUCACAAAUCAAGUGUUCAUAUAUGGUUCUGUUUCUGUGCUUUCCUUUCUGUUCCAUCGAUGUAUUUUCCUUUCCGUGGACCAAUAUCACGUUGCAUUAAUUGCUAUGUCUUUAUAAUAAAUCAUAAAUCUUGUACUUCUUCCACAUUUUUCUUUUCCAAGGAUAUUCUGGCUAUUCUUGGGUCUUUGCACUUCUAUAAAUACUUAAAAAUCAGCAUCUAAGGUUCAUUUAAAACAAAAAUUAAAAAACCAGCUGAGCAGAGGCAGCCGAGAGCCAUGGCGGUGGUGGUGGUGGCGGUGGCAGUACAGACCCGGAUCCUGCAGUCCCAACUGCAGAGCUCCUCAUGAAGGGAAAUUUGGUGAAUCCAAAAGCGACAAAUGGAUUGAUAGCCACAAUCCGGCCACCAAUGAGGUAAUCCGUCACUCCCCUCAGGCCACCAAGGCUGAAAUGGAUGCAGCUGUCGCUUCCUGCAAACGUGCUUUUCCUACAUGGGCAGACACUUCAGUAUUAAGCCAUCAGCAGGUCAUGCUCCGCUAUCAACAACUUAUUAAAGAAAACUUGAAAGAAAUUGUGAAGUUAAUCACAUUGGAAUAAGGGAAGACCCUAGCUGAUGCUGAAGGAGAUAUAUUUGGGGACUUUCAUAAGCUGGGAGUGGUUGAGCACGCCUAUAGUGUGACAUCUCUCAUGCUGGGAGAGACCAUGCCAUCCAUCACCAAAGACAUGGACCUUUAUUCCUACCGUCUGCCUCUGGGAGUGUGUGCGGGCAUUGCUCCAUUCAAUUUUCCUGCCAUGAUUCCUCUUUGGAUGUUUCCCAUGGCCAUGGUGUGUGGAAAUACCUUCCUAAUGAAACCAUCAGAAAGAGUCCCUGGAGCAACUAUGCUUCUUGCUAAGUUGCUCUAGGAUUCUGGUGCCCCUAAUGGAACACUGAACAUCAUUCAUGGACAACAUGAAGCUGUAAAUUUUAUUUGUGAUCAUCCAAACAUCAAAGCAAUCAGCUUUGUGGGAUCCAACCAGGCAGGAAAGUACAUCUUCGAGAGAGGAUCAAGACACGGCAAGAGGGUUCAAGCCAACAUGGGAGCCAAGAAUCAUGGAGCAGUCAUGCCAGGUGCCAAUAAGGAAAAUCCCUGGAACCAGCUGGUUGGGGCAGCAUUUGGAGCUGCUAAUUAGUACUGCAUGGCUCUUUCCACAGCAAUCUUUGUGGGGGAAGCUAAAAAGUGGCUGCCAGAACUAGUGGAUCGUGCCAAAAACCUGAGAGUCAAUGCAGGAGACCAGCCUGGAGCUGAUCUUGGCCUUGGAUCACUCUCCAGGCCAAAGAAUGAGUCUGUCAUCUAAUUGAUAGUGGAACAAAGGAGGGAGCUUCCAUCCUUCUUACUGGGUGAAAAAUUAAAAGGCUAUGAAAAUGGCAACUUUAUUGGAUCAACCAGCAUCUCAAAUGUUAAGCCAAAUAUGACCUGUUACAAAGAGGAGAUUUUUGGUCCAGUUCUUGUGGUUCUGGAGACAGAAACAUUGGAUGAAGCCAUCAAGAUUGUAAAUGACAACCCAUAUGGAAAUGGAACUUCCAUCUUCACCACACUGCUCGGAAAUAUUCCCACCUGGUGGAUGUUGGACAAGUGGGAGUGAAUGUCCCCAUUCCAGUGCCUUUGCCAAUGUUCUCAUUCACUGGCUCUCGAUCUUCCUUCAGGGGAGACACCAAUUUCUAUGGCAAACAGGGCAUCCAUUUCUACACUCAGUUAAAAAACAUCACUUCUCAGUGGAAAGAAGAUGAUGCUACUCUUUCCUCACCUGCUGUAGCCAUGCCUACCAUGGGCCGUUAGAAACAAGUUUGUUUAAGACUCAGUCCGUCCUGAAUAAUCUCGCUUUAUUUUUGACCAGCUUCAUUUGCCAACUUUGCUCAUAUUGGAUCCCUGGGAUUGGAAUACAUUGUAACUAAAAUCUUUCUCAGGACUAUUAGUCCCUGCAAAGUUGCUAUAGGAAGACUCUUAGUGUAACAUUGAAACCAGAUUUUUUCACUUGCUCUUCAUACUUAACAUUUUUGAGGUAAUUGUGACUGUGAAAUGCUUCUUUGGAAUAAGAGCUUAAACGUGUUUUCUAAAAAUU